rnacentral:rRNA from 1 species
AUUGAACGCUGGCGGCAGGCCUAACACAUGCAAGUCGAGCGGUUGCAGGGAGCUUGCUCCUGGAUUCAGCGGCGGACGGGUGAGUAAUGCCUAGGAAUCUGCCUGGUAGUGGGGGAUAACGUCCGGAAACGGGCGCUAAUCCCGCAUACGUCCUGAGGGAGAAAGUGGGGGAACUUCGGACCUCACGCUAUCAGAUGAGCCGAGGUCGGAUUAGCUAGUUGGUGGGGUAAAGGCCUACCAAGGCGACGAUCCGUAACUGGUCUGAGAGGAUGAGCAGUCACACUGGAACUGAGACACGGUCCAGACUCCUACGGGAGGCAGCAGUGGGGAAUAUUGGACAAUGGGCGAAAGCCUGAUCCAGCCAUGCCGCGUGUGUGAAGAAGGUCUUCGGAUUGUAAAGCACUUUAAGUUGGGAGGAAGGGCAGUAAGUUAAUACCUUGCUGUUUUGACGUUACCAACAGAAUAAGCACCGGCUAACUUCGUG